rnacentral:rRNA from 1 species
AUGGCCCCACGUAAAUUCUUGGACAACAUGACUGGCCAAAAUGGCAUCGUCCCGGUGGUGGUCGUGGACACGGCGGAGAAGAAGACGCAAUCUCCCAGCCUGCUUGACGCUGACGAGUUCCGGCGUCAGAGUCACCAGGUAGUUGACUUGAUCACCGAGUACUAUGACCGCAUGGGCGACUACCCCGUGCACCCCAGCGUUACCCCUGGUUUCCUCCGCAACUUGCUCCCCCCGGACGCACCCUUCCGUCCGGAGCCGGACGCGUUCAGCUCCGCGCUCAAGGACGUCCGCGACAUCAUCCUCCCGGGCCUGACGCACUGGCAGAGCGCCCGCCACAUGGCGCACUUCCCGGCGUCAAGCAGCACCAUCGGCGCCCUAGGGGAGGCGCUCACCGCGGGCAUCAACGUCGUCCCGUUCACAUGGGCCGCCUCACCGGCCGCCACCGAGCUUGAAAUGCUGGUCGUGGACUGGCUCGGAAAGGCGCUGCACCUGCCGGAGAGUCUCCUCUUCGCCGGUGGUGGCGGUGGAACUCUUCUUGGUACCUCUUGUGAGGCGAUACUCUGCACUCUUGUGGCCGCGAGGGACCGGAAGCUCGCCGAGAUCGGCGGGAACAGGAUCUGCGACCUCGUCGUCUACUGCUCCGACCAGACACACUUCGCCUUCCGCAAGGCCGCACGCAUUGCCGGCAUCCUGCGUGACCACUGCCGCGCCAUACCCACGUGCCACCACAACAUGUUCGCUCUCCCGCCCACGGAACUGCAAGCGGCCAUGCAGGCUGACGUGGAAGCCGGGCUGGUGCCACUUUUCUUGUGCGCGACGCUGGGGACGACCCAGACGACUGCCGUCGACCCCAUCGGCGAGCUGUGCGCUGUCAGUGCACCACACGGCGUGUGGGUGCACGUGGACGCCGCCUACGGCGGCUCCGCGCUAGUCUGCCCGGAGUUCACCCACGUGAUCGACGGCGUGGAGGCCGUCGACUCGUUCAGCAUGAACGCCCACAAGUGGCUCCUCGCCAACAACGACUGCUGCGCCAUGUGGGUGAAGAAGCCGAGGGUGCUGGUGGCGGCGCUCGGGCCGGAGCAGGAUUUGAUCCUCAAGGACGCGGCAUCGGAGGGGCACAACGUGGUCGACUACAUGGACUGGACCAUAACGCUGACCCGCCGGUUCCGCGCGCUCAAGAUGUGGCUCGUGCUCCGCUGCUACGGCAUCCAAGGCCUGCGCAACCACAUCCGCAAUCACGUCCGCAUGGCCGAGGCAUUCGAGAAGAUGGUCAAGGCCGACGAAAGGUUCGAGGUGGUGACGGACAGGAAGUUUGCGCUGGUGUGCUUCCGGCUCCGGUCACCGGACAAAUUCGGCGGGGCCGACAAGCAGGCGGCCAACCAGCUCAACCGACGCCUCCUUGAGGAGGUGAACGCUGCCACCUCAGGCCCCUACAUGAGCUCGGCAAACGUAGGUGGCAUGUUCAUACUAAGGUGUGCCAUUGGAAGCACACUCACAGAGGACCACCACGUGAGCGAUGCAUGGAAGGUUGUGCAGGAUCAGGCCACCAUAAUCCUUCGUCAUUGA